rfam:Danio rerio chromosome 4, GRCz11 reference primary assembly.
GGCCGGUUAGCUCAGCUAUUCAGAGCGUGGUGCUAAUAACACCAAGGUCGCGGGUUCGAUCCACGUACUGGCCA